CCAUUUGCUGCUCUCCUGCAGGCUGCAUCAAUCACGGCUGAAAGGCAGCUGUGGAACUGGAGCCUGCUGGGACAAGAGAAGUGGCAGGGGAGGUGUGAGGGAAUGCAGCAGCCCCUGAACACGACAACUUCUUAAACUGAGAAACUAAGACAUCAUUAGGGGCUAUAAAACAGAGAUGGGUGGAAAGGUGUGACCUGCAAAAUGCCAGGUUUGGAAGACACAUAUGGAGCAACACAGAGAACAGAACUAGGCAGGAACAGGGAGCAGAAACAACGCAUUCUAAUUGUUUUAAUAACCUACAGAAAUUGUUUCUGCUUGGCUUGUGUCAGCCACUCAUGUCUCUGCCACGCACUAUUCAGGAGGCUGGGUGGAAAAACUUCCUAUGGCAUAGCUACAAAUCUGGCAAUCUGUCCCCUUUGUGAGGAAUCCGAAUGACCACAGAAUUGAAGCCCUGAAUCAUCACAGAGUCAGAAAAUCUAGGACUGGGAAACGAGCACAGAAGCUGAAAUAGCAGAACCUACAAGCUCAGGAGCUGGUAUCCUCGUAGCAUCUUCAUAGAAUCCUCCAAGAAUCGAGUCAUAGAAUCUCCGGACUCUAGAAUCAUAGUCUCUAGCAACCCCAUAAUAACCCCACGGUAUCAAAUCACCACAUCUUGUUUCCUCACCCCCACAGAGGGAAACGCUGCACAGAGCAUGCUCACAGUCAGUGGUAUCAGACAGCAUCACCCAGCACCCCUCAUGGAAUGGGCUAUCUACCACAUCAAAGCACUGCCACUUGCAAGUGCUCAGAGGUUCUUUCUCAAAAGAUGGAUUUUUAGGACUAUUUUUCACUCUAAUUUGGAUAGAGGAAAGGAACUGUGGUCUAGAAUCUAUACGAAAGGAAUCCAACGCUGCUGUGCCCACCGCCUCCACAGCUCACGUGACGGUCUUCCACCCGCUGCGUGCCGCCUGGAAUGAUGUUGUGUUGCCCUGAUGAGCUGCUGGGGUUCUGCCUCUGUGAAACGCUCCUCUGGAUGAUACCCCAGGAGCCUCGAGAGGGAAAAAAGAAUGGGGACUCUGUCAGGUCUAGGCACUUGGCAUGCUUGCCUCAAGCCACCUGGCAUCAGUAGGGCAAUGGUGUUCAAAGUAGCACCGUUCCCAGUGCUUCCAGUGUACUGGCUUUAAACUGGAAGUGGGUACAUAUAGGCUAGAUAUUAGGAAGAGAUUUGUUACUGUGUGGACGGUGAGAUACUGGCGCAGGUUGCCCAGAGGGCUUGUGGAUGCCCCCUCCCUGGAGGUGUUCAAGGCCAGGCUGGAUGGGUCUGUGAGCAGCCCGGUCUAGUGGGGGGUGUCCCUGCCUAUAGCAGGGGGUUGGAACUUUGGUGAUCUUAAGGGCCCUUCCAACCCAAACCGCUCUAUGACUCUACAACUAAGAAAAAUGCCUUUACUCUAAAGAUGAUCAGCACUGGACCAAGCUUCCUAUAGAGCUGGUUGAUGCCUCGUGCCUGUCAGUGGUCAAGAGGCAUUUGGAUGAUGUCCUUAGUAAUAUGCCUCGUCUUUUGG
rnacentral:lncRNA from 1 species